AUAAAUAGAGGAAAAUAUAGAGAUCUCUAUUAUAAAGAAAAACAUAUAUGUGGGUUGGAGAAAUUUCACUUCUAAAUGCUAUUAUAUAGGUGAAAAUACCAAUGUGUUGGAGAUGCUCUUAUAGGUAGAUUGGUAAUAUCCAUGUUUUUUGUAUUAUGAACCUAUUGACUAUUAAUAAAAGAUUAAAGCGAUUAUGUCAAAUUAAUAUGUUCGAUUUGUUUUCUAAAUCUAAAUAUCAAUCAAUACAAAUAAAUAAAAUUAUCUUAUAUCUAGAUAAAUAUGUGUUUAGUAAAAACAAUUUUAAUAAGUAACGUGCAAAUAAAAAAACAUUUUUUCAACAAUGUGUAAGCAUCAAAAAAUCACAAAAUGAUGGAGAUCGAAUAAUCUAGAAAUCUAUGAAAAUAUAUUGAAAAUAAUUUUAGUAAUCUAUAAAAAUAUC
rnacentral:lncRNA from 1 species